UACAGAGGGUGCGAGCGUUGUCCGGAACCACUGGGCGUAAAGGGCGCGUAGGUGGCGGGCCAAGUCAGUGGUGAAAGCUCGAUGCUCAACAUCGAGUCGGCCACUGAUACUGGUUUGCUUGAGCACUGUAGAGGCAGAUGGAAUUCCGGGUGUAGCGGUGGAAUGCGUAGAGAUCCGGAAGAACACCGGUGGCGAAGGCGGUCUGCUGGGCAGUUGCUGACACUGAGGCGCGACAGCGUGGGGAGCAAACAGG
rnacentral:rRNA from 1 species